rnacentral:rRNA from 1 species
UACGUAGGGGGCAAGCGUUGUCCGGAUUUAUUGGGCGUAAAGAGCGUGUAGGCGGCCACACAGGUCAGCUGUGAAAACUCGAGGCUCAACCUCGAGACGUCGGUUGAAACCGUAUGGCUAGAGUCCGGAAGAGGAGAGUGGAAUUCCCGGUGUAGCGGUGAAAUGCGCAGAUAUCGGGAAGAACACCCGUGGCGAAGGCGG